AUUUAUAACUCUGAGUCUGAACACUGAGAAUCUGAACCAACAGCAACCAUGAGCUUCAUCUUCAUCAUCUUCAUCUGGAUGUUCUCCAGCUGUUUCACAGAAUCAGUUGGUGAAGUGACAGUCACUCAGACUCCUGCAGUGAAACCUGUUCCUCUAGGAGACACAGUUACUAUAUCCUGUAAAACCAGUCCUGAAGUUUAUCAGGGUUGGAGUGUUCAGCCUCUAUCCUGGUACUUACAGAAACCUGGAGAAGCUCCUAAACUCCUGAUUUAUGCAGCAAAUCGCCUCCAGUCAGGAACUCCAUCUAGAUUCAGUGGCAGUGGAUCUAACAGUGAUUUCACUCUGACCAUCAGUGGAGUCCAGACUGAAGAUGCUGGACAUUAUUACUGUCAGAGUUAUCACAGUGGUUAUGUGUUCACACAGUGAUAAAGAGUCGUACAA